GAUGAACGCUGGCGGCGUGCUUAACACAUGCAAGUCGAACGGAAAGGCCCAAGCUUGCUUGGGUACUCGAGUGGCGAACGGGUGAGUAACACGUGGGUGAUCUGCCCUGCACUUCGGGAUAAGCCUGGGAAACUGGGUCUAAUACCGGAUGGGACGAUGGUUUGGAUGCCAUUGUGGAAAGUUUUUUCGGUGUGGGAUGAGCUCGCGGCCUAUCAGCUUGUUGGUGGGGUAAUGGCCUACCAAGGCGUCGACGGGUAGCCGGCCUGAGAGGGUGUACGGCCACAUUGGGACUGAGAGACAGCCCAGACUCCUACGGGAGGCAGCAGUGGGGAAUAUUGCACAAUGGGCGCAAGCCUGAUGCAGCGACGCCGCGUGGGGGAUGACGGCCUUCGGGUUGUAAACUCCUUUCGCUAGGGACGAAGCGUUUUUGUGACGGUACCUGGAGAAGAAGCACCGGCUAACUACGUG
rnacentral:rRNA from 1 species